rnacentral:lncRNA from 1 species
CAAGGGGAAAUUUAAAGGAUUUUGAAAGCCAAAUGAUUUAAUAUCUUAUCAUAGAGGCAACAGAAGCUGCUAGAAUUUAUUUAAUUGGGAGGGAGAAUUUAUAUGAAAAGUACCAAGUUACCAAAAGCACACACAAAGAUAAAUAACACGCAGUGCAUACAUUCAAAGAGUUUGAAAUCUGUUUGAGAAAAAAAGAUAUGGAAUAAUAUAGCCAUAAAACGAAAAUUAAGCCAUGUAUGCAUAAAAGGAACUGAAGUAAAAUGCUCUAAGAAUUCUAAGGACUGAGAAUUAUAGUAUUUCUUUGAUGCUUCAUGGGGUAUUCUGUAGUUCUAAUCACAUAAUUAAUAGAUUAUAAUUAUAUAGUGCUGCGAGGCACACACAAUGUUUUAAAAUCAUAGUCUUAUUUGAGCUUCUGUGCAAUCCUGUGAUAUACUUACUUGUUCUUCUUUUCCAUAUUUUACAAAUCAGGAAACUGAGACUUAAAAGUCAAGUACUUUAUGAGAUAAGUACUGCACAAGUAUUAUUUCAUUGAUUAGAUAAAGAACAUGAAUCAUGAAUGGAUUUGGAUAAUGCAGCUAACACCUAAGCUAUACAGAGAAUACCCUGGAACUGAAAUAAAUUUAGUACACCUUCUGAAUGCUCAUAGGAAAAAAAAAACUGAAUUUAACCUGGAUCUUCUAACAUUUAGGACAAUAAACUAUGGAGUUAUAAAGGACAUAUGAGGAAUGAACUACCAAUCAUUGGACAAGGUCCAUUAAAGUGAAAGGACUCACAAGAGAGUGAUGUGGUCUGGAUCUGAACUCAGGUUUUCUCAUUUUAAAUCCAAUUCUCUUUCACCCAUCACAAAUCAGUGGCAUUUCCCACCUUGAUAUCAGGAUUCAUGCUUGCUCUCGCUAGUUUGUUUGAUUUAGUUUGACUUAACUUGCAUCCUGGGAAGUUUAUCUCAAGUAAACAGAAUACAGAAAAGCAACUCACAAAGCAAUUUUGCUAAAAAUCCUGUCCAUGUAAAGAAUGUCUCUGUUAUAUCUGAGGACUUAAUUGGCGUACAAGUUUAAAAAUUCAAUCAGUUAUUUUCUCUAGUGCUCAUUUAGGAAUGGCCAGCUACUUAGCCUCAUUCAAGACUAAAUUCAAAGGGAGAAUUCUAAUUUCUUUGAUAAAUAUAACCCAUUACAUCCAAUUGAUCUUAUCAACCAGCUAAGCAUACUGUAACUGGAAAUUUUCUUUGCAAAUGCUUACAAAAAAGUGGUAUCAGUGUCUUCCUAACUAUAAAGCUGCUGUAAAUCGAAUCUUCUUGGAGCUAUUCUGUAUAAAAUUUUCAUUAUUUAAAAUUCACUUCCAAAUACUGUGAGUCUAUUUAUUGUGUUAUCUCUCUUUAUUUAAACAAAUCUAAAAAUCAUAAAACACUUGAAAGCAGC